UACGUAGGGGGCAAGCGUUGUCCGGAAUCAUUGGGCGUAAAGAGCGUGUAGGUGGCUCGGUAAGUCCGCUGUGAAAGUCCAGGGCUCAACCCUGGAAAGCCGGUGGAAACUGUCGAGCUCGAGUCCGGAAGAGGCGAGUGGAAUUCCUGGUGUAGCGGUGAAAUGCGCAGAUAUCAGGAAGAACACCCGUGGCGAAGGCGGCUCUCUGGAACGCAACUGACGCUGAGACGCGAAAGCGUGGGGAGCAAACAGG
rnacentral:rRNA from 1 species